GUGAGUAUAAAAAUGUCAUUUUGUCAGCAUCUGGACAGCUAAAGUUAAAAAUCAGAGACCACAAUUUGUUUUAAUUGGACAUAAAAUGUUUAUUUCCCCAUUCAAAGAAUUUAAAGAAAGGUGAUCACUAAAAAACAAGUCAACAUAAAAAGAAGAGUGUGAAAGUGGGAGAAAAAGCAAUGCUUCAGCAGACUUUCUGAAAAUCAUAAGCUAAAUACAUUUGUCCUUUUAAAUCUGACUAAAAAAAAAUUCUUUAAACAAAAAGAAAUCAAAAGUAAAAAAAACUUUUAAAGUCUAAAAAAAUCUUUGUGCACAUGCACAAAAUAAAAUAUAUUAAACAAAACUAUAUUAACACAAACUUAAAUCAAUGUUAAACGAAAAAGUAAAAAAAAAAAUAAUAAUAAAAAAAAUAAUAAUAAAAAGAUACCACGGUCUUGGAGGAACACAAGUCUGCUUGGCAGCAUAUUGUUAUUACAGUAACUAGAGCAAAAUGCAUCUGUGGACUAAUCAUUUACAAAAUCAUUUAGGCUUUUUUUCCCCAAUUCUAAAUACUUAACAGCAUGAUGGUAAAAUAGGACCACACCAUUUCCAAUAAUAUCCACUUUGCAUUUACACUUUUUAUUAUUUAAGAUUAAGAUUCUGUUUGCUUUAAAUGUUAAAGUAGGGCACAUCCCAUUUCAAAUAGUUUUCUUUUUACCAAAUCUUUGAAAUAGUCUAAAUGUUGGAAUAAAGGCUUUUACAAAAGAAAUAAAACAAAAAGAAAACAACCCUAAAGGGUGGAGCAGCUUACAAAAAAAAAAAAAGUAUACAUUUUAAAAAUGAGAUUGUCAGAGCUAGUGUUUAAUGACGCGAGAAGAAACCUUAAGAUGCAACUGUCUUUUCGUAGAGACGAACAUGCAUAUUGCUUUAACAGGCAUUUAAAACCAGGACGACAGCUUAAGCAUGAUCAAAACAACUAAAAAGAUUUGGGAACCCUUUCCUAAACCCCAUCAACAGAGCAAUGUACUUCCAAUUACAUGAUACUUUAAAUCAAAUAACAUUUUUCUAGUUUAUUUUUACUCCUCAUACCCUCUACUGCACCUUCACACAAUUCAUCAGUCUGUCUAAAAGAACAAUUGCAUAUCGUGUAGAAGAAUCUUACCACGUUACAUGCUAUAACACAGGCUAGU